rnacentral:rRNA from 1 species
AUGGCUGGACUGGAGGAGCUGAAGCGGAGGCUGCAGCCCAUCUUCUUCGACGCCGAUGGCAAUGUUGUGCCGCCCCCCGCCGCCGACGGGACGUCCGACGACUCCAGCUCUGACGACUGCGAGGUUUUGGAUGGUGGAACUGUCAAUUUAUUGAGUAGGUCCUCUGAUGAAUAUAACAUCAGUAAGCUUGGCUUCCAUAAACGAACAACCAGACCAGAUGGGGACUAUGCUACAGAUAAGGCAUAUCGAUGUUGUUGUCAUGAUAUGCAUAUUUUUGAUUCUGUUGGUAACGGUGCAAGCAGCGUUGUCCAUAGAGCUAUUUAUGUACCAGUCCAUCGAGUUUUGGCACUCAAGAAAAUCAACAUUUUUGACAAGGAAAAGAGACAACAAAUUCUUAAUGAGAUUAGAACGUUAUCAGCAGCAUCUUGUUAUCCAGGUUUAGUUGAAUUCCAAGGAGUUUUUUAUACCCCGGACUCUGGAGAAAUAUACUUUGCUCUUGAGUAUAUGGAUGGUGGUUCAUUAGCAGAUAUUAUCAGGGUCAAGAAAUUCAUAACAGAACCAGUUCUUUCACAUAUGCUACAGAAAGUGUUGCUAGCUCUGCGCUACUUGCAUGAAGUGAGGCGUUUAGUUCACAGAGAUAUAAAGCCAGCAAAUUUGCUGCUAAAUCUAAAGGGUGAUACGAAAAUUACAGACUUUGGUGUAUCUUCUGGAUUGCAUGAUUCAGUUACCAUGUGUGCUACCUUCCUGGGCAGUGUCACAUAUAUGUCUCCUGAGAGAAUUCGGAACGAAAAUUACUCAUAUGCUGCUGAUAUCUGGAGCCUUGGACUAACAGCAUUGGAGUGUGCAACUGGAAGAUACCCAUAUGAUGUAAAUGGGGGCGAGGCCGACCUCAUGCUGCAGAUAUUGGAAGAUCCAUCGCCAACACCACCGCAACAUAUGCAUUCAGAAGAGUUUUGCUCGUUCAUCGAUGCUUGCUUGCAGAAAGAUGCUGAUGCAAGACCAACAUGUGAUCAGCUUUUGUCUCAUUCCUUCAUCAAGAAAUACGAGGGACCUGGUGUGGACUUGGCAGAGUACAACAAAAGUGUUCAUGAUCCAGCGGAAAGAUUAUCACAGAUAGCACAUAUGCUUGCUGUACAUUACUACCUGAUCUUUGACGGUGGUGAUGACCAAUGGCGUCACAUGAAGUCAUUCUAUGGACAAGAUUCUACUUUCAGUUUCUCAGGGGAAACACAUGUCGGUAAGAGCGACAUAUUCGAUACUUUGUCAAGAAUAAGGGAAAUGCUAAAAGGUAACAGCCGUUGCGAAAAGAUUGGCCGUGUGAUGGAGAAGGUUUACUGCCGUGCACAUGGGGAAGAAGGGAUGAGUGUUCGAGUUUCUGGAUCAUUCAUUAUGGGGAACGAGUUCCUCGUGUGCGCAGAUGGGUUUUGUGCUGAAGGGAUGCUAAGCAUCGUCGAACUCUCUCCCGACAUUCUCAGCAAGCAGGCAGGCCAUUUCCAGGAAGAUUUUUUCAUGGAGCCAGGGACUGCCAUGGGAUGCUAUGUGAUAUCAAGGCAAGAAUUGCACAUUGGCGUAUCAUGA